rnacentral:rRNA from 1 species
UCUACCUUGUAGAGGGGAAUAGCCCAGAGAAAUUUGGAUUAUUGCCCCAUAGUAUUAUGAAAUAGCAUUAUUUUAUAAUUAAACAUUUAUGGCUACAAGAUGAGUAUGCGUUCUAUUAGUUAGUAGGUAAGGUAACGGCUUACCUAGACUUCGAUAGAUAGGGGUCCUGAGAGGGAGAUCCCCCACACUGGUACUGAGACACGGACCAGACUCCUACGGGAGGCAGCAGUGAGGAAUAUUGGACAAUGGGCGAGAGCCUGAUCCAGCCAUGCCGCGUGCAGGAAGACGGCCCUAUGGGUUGUAAACUGCUUUUAUAGAGGAAGAAACACUCCCACGUGUGGGAGCUUGACGGUACUCUACGAAUAAGGAUCGGCUAACUCCGUGCCAGCAGCCGCGGUAAUACGGAGGAUCCAAGCGUUAUCCGGAAUCAUUGGGUUUAAAGGGUCCGUAGGCGGGACAAUCAGUCAGCGGUGAAAGUCUGUGGCUCAACCAUAGAAUUGCCAUUGAUACUGUUGUUCUUGAAUACUUAUGAAGUGGUUGGAAUAUGUAGUGUAGCGGUGAAAUGCAUAGAUAUUACAUAGAACACCGAUUGCGAAGGCAGAUCACUAAUAAGUCAUUGACGCUGAUGGACGAAAGCGUAGGUAGCGAACAGGAUUAGAUACCCUGGUAGUCUACGCCGUAAACGAUGGUUACUA